CCAAAGGCCAGACACAUCUGGAUAAAAACUAAAAAAGCAUCUGGAUGAGAUCUCAAAGACAUCUAACAACGCAUGUUCGAGCUGAGCUUGACUUGUGCUCUCUUCUACUGCCAAAUCCUCAAAGCUUUCAUGGAUGGAAAAAAAAAAGUAAAGAAAAAAAAAAAAGAGCUCAGCCCAGAGAAGGAAAAGUAGUGAGGUUAGUUUCUGAUGAUGGAAAAGUGGAUGAUGAGUCGCCAUUUAAAAUCUCACCUUGGACCAGAAUCUGGAGCCGACAGGUCUGUACUGCAGCUCGAACUUCAGCGGAAAGGCGUUGGACACAUCUGAGGGCCACGAGGCGGGCGGCUUCCACUGUACAACCAGCUGCGUGGGCUCGGUAUCCACUUGCUUGCAGAUCAGAUCCUCAGGAGCAUCAGGCUUUACUACACACACACACACACACACACACAGUUCUGAAUUUUGCCACAUGAUCACAAAAUUCAAGUUCAUAUUGAUCAAUUUAAAGCUUAAUUUUACACACGGAUGGUACGAACAUUGGUCCAUGCAAGUGUUGAUUAUUUCGUUUGUUAUAUUUUAAAAAUAUAUUGUUAAAAGUUACUUGCAGUGCAACAUUAAUGCUGGUAUGUUGAAGUUAACUUGUGUGUUAAAUAAUGUCCGUUAAGUUUCCUGCUAUGUUGCUUACAAUUUUUGUUGACGUCCACAUAAGCGAUGGUGGAUUUGGAGCCGAGUGGAUUCACUUCCGUGAUGUUCACUAGGUGUUUGCUGCCCCAGAACACAGGGUUGCUGAUGGUGCACUCGUUCACAUCCAUCAGCUCUUGUUCACAGGG